CAGGAGGCUGUGAGCACCCGUGACCUGGAGCUGGUGCAGCUGGUCCUGCGCUACCGGGACUACCAGAGAGCCAUCAAGCGCCUGGCCGGGAUCCCCAUCCUGCUGGAGAAGCUGCGCAAGGCCCAGGACUUCUACGUGGAGAUGAAGUGGGAGUUCACCAGCUGGGUGCCACUGGUGUCCAAGAUCUGCCCCAGUGACACCUACAAGGUGUGGAAGAGUGGCCAGAACCUGCGGGUGGAUACCACGCUGCUGGGCUUCGACCACAUGACCUGGCAGCGGGGGAACCGCAGCUUCGUCUUUCGGGGACAAGACACCAGCGCGGUGGUGAUGGAGAUAGACCACGACCGGCGGGGGG